rfam:TPA: Bos taurus chromosome 17, whole genome shotgun sequence.
UCCCUGGUGGUUCAGUGGUUAGGACUUGGUGUUUUCACUGCCCAGAGCCUGGGUUUGAUCCCUGGUUGGGGAA